rnacentral:lncRNA from 1 species
GGAGGAUAUAUGAAUCUUUAACGUAAUUUUCAAAAAUAAAAUCCUGAACAGCAGUUAAAACAAAUGAAUCAGAUAUACUCACACAAGGUAGGCAAAUUUGGAAGACAAAAUGAGAAAUAUAAUAAAGUAAAAAGUAGAUGAUAAAUGCAACACAAUUCCCUAUGGAUAAAUUUUAACCACCCACAAUACUAUAAUUGCCCAAUAUGUAGAAACCAUGAGAUUUCACAUUUUCUACAAUGCACUAAAAUAAAAAAAAAAGGAAACAGGAUAAAAGGCAAUCCAAGAAAUAUUUAUCCUCUUGGAAAUCAAAAAAGAAGAUCUAAAAUAAUUCCUGGUUUGAAGAAAUAACAGAAAUUAAAAGCUACAUAGAAAUGGUCAACAGUAUUAGCCAGACACAGAUGUGUUCGUGGAGCUAAGGGAGACUAGUGAUCAGUCCGGGGUCUCUCCAAGGUUACAAGUCUUAGAAAGCAAAGAUACUUGUUCUGAGUCCAUUUUUUUUCUGGGUUUUCCUGUGGCUUCUGCUGGUUUCUGACAUGGGGAAAAGGGGGGAAGAGUUAGAAUGUACCCCUCUCUCCAUCUCUCCCAACCUUCCUUUAGUAACAAGUAGGAAAGCACAAUAGAAGAUAAAAGAACGUAGUAGAAUGUAGAGGGAUUGCCAGGAGAAGUGGGGAAGCAUGCUCGAUUCAGCUGAGCUUUAGCUCAGAAAACCAUGCUCCUGGAAAGAGGAAGCUGGCCAAGUACUGUUCCAAGGCAGCGGGAGGGCGAAGCCAGAGCAUCCUGCUUCUUCACGUGGGGAGGCCAGUUCUCUGUGGAAGUGGCAAUACAAAGGCAGGGGAAUUGAACUACUCAGAGCCUUCAGGGAGAAAUAUUUCCUGCCCAAAUUCAGGUGCUAAACAAACAACAAAAUGAGAACCUCUACUAUGAAGAGUUUCCAACCAUGAGAUAUCCGAGGACAUUACAUUCCUGGGAAUAAAGCCAGGGGUGCCAUGACAGACAACUAGAAAGAACAACUUAGUGGGCCAGCCCCACUCCAGUAAGACCCAAGGAGGAAACUUCAUAUUCCUUUAGCCUGUUUUAGCUUUUGGCAAAGCCAGACCCCAUGCUCCAAGCUUGCUGGGUUCUAUCCUCCAUAUCAUCCAGAAGAUACACUGUUACUGCAGAAGGUGACACUGAGGAGAGAGCGCGGUGUAUAUUUAUUCAUGUAAAAAAAACCCUGGGUAUAAGCACAGCAAUGUUAAUAACUAGAAAUUACUGAAUUUUCUAUGUUGUCUGUUGUGGAAAUAAAGCCCUCUGGGGAUGGAUCAAAAAUAUCUGGAAAUUACUUGAAACUGGUGAAUAACUAAAUGGAAUGAUAACUAAAAUGUACUGUAAUCCAAUUGUAUUUUUUGUCCUUUAAGGGUUGUUUCCGGGGAGCACUAUGCAGUGAAUGUUACAAAAAUGACAUAAAACUCCAAAAGCUACUCUAUGUAAAUUUCUUGAGUGGGAAUUCUCAUGAUGUUUGGCAUAUUACUCUGAUAAUUGUAUAUGUCAAUUGGUUUUAUGUUCUGACAUUUUGACCGCUUUGGGGAAAAAUGAGGUGUAUACCCAGAGUUUUCCUGGCAAAUGCUUAAAAACUGGCCCUCUGGGUGGAAAAUCCUGAUUGAUGGUGUUUGCCAAUUUCCAUGGUGUAAAUACUACUUCCACUCUGGCUGACUGCAAGCUAUGAAUGUGCUAUCAUUGAGUGCAGAACUGGGAAAGGAUAUGCAAUGUGGACACUUGUGAGUCCAUACAAGCCACUGUAUAUACCCAGGAGCCUGUGUGAAACUACAGUUUUUUACUAAAAAUGUUGCCCCAUAAAUAUACAAAGGUACCAGAGGAAGAAAAAAUAUAAAGGGAAAAUAAAUUCAAAUUGGAAGCUCAAAUGGAGAAAAUAACAGGAUUUUUUCAACUUUGUCUAUAUGCUACAUUUUAUUAUUAUAUGUUUAAAAGAAAACAAAGUAUCUAUGUGUCAUCUCCAGUGUUCUGAACUCUUAGUUUCUUUGGUGUUCCCUGAGAUGGAGGCUAGGGUUUCUUUCCUUUCAGAUAUUGGUGCUAAGAUGAUGCUGUCCAAAGAAUUGAUGGGACCUGCUCACUGUGAAGCCAGUUUCAGGAUGGCUGAGCUGAGAGUGGUGACAGAAGAAAAGAUGAGGAGCCUUCUGAAUUUGGGGAGGCAACACUUAUAUUUAUAUGUGUGGUUUGGUAUGAUAAUAUAUUGCUUUAAAAGUUAAUGCUAAUGGAAACAAGAAAAAAGCAGUUGUUCAAAAAUUGAAAAAAAUGGAUUAAUAAACUCUUCUAUUAGAGCAAGGCAAAAGGAACUUAUUAAAACUGAGGUGAAUUAGAAAUAUC